rnacentral:rRNA from 1 species
UACGAAGGGGGCUAGCGUUGCUCGGAAUCACUGGGCGUAAAGGGUGCGUAGGCGGGUCUUUAAGUCAGGGGUGAAAUCCUGGAGCUCAACUCCAGAACUGCCUUUGAUACUGAAGAUCUUGAGUUCGGGAGAGGUGAGUGGAAUUCCGAGUGUAGAGGUGAAAUUCGUAGAUAUUCGGAAGAACACCAGUGGCGAAGGCGGCUCACUGGCCCAUUACUGACGCUGAGGCACGAAAGCGUGGGGAGCAAACAGG